UACGUAGGGGGCAAGCGUUGUCCGGAAUCAUUGGGCGUAAAGCGCGUGUAGGCGGCUCGAUAAGUCUGCUGUGAAAGUCCAAGGCUCAACCUUGGGAUGCCGGUGGAUACUGUCGAGCUCGAGUCCGGAAGAGGAGUGUGGAAUUCCUGGUGUAGCGGUGAAAUGCGCAGAUAUCAGGAGGAACACCAAUGGCGAAGGCAGCACUCUGGGACGUGACUGACGCUGAGACGCGAAAGCAUGGGGAGCGAACAAG
rnacentral:rRNA from 1 species